UUUCUGUCUUUGCUAGUUUGCGUGGCUUUUCGACGGUGAAGUAUCUGUGAGUGGAUCCCUUCUAAGAUGCAUGUUUUAAUAGUAGAAUCGCAUACAUGAAAAGCAUGAUUUAAUGAUUACGUUUUAUGAAACGUUUUAUAAGAUAUUAUGCUUACUUAGAAUAUUUUGGAAUAUCAUAUUUUCUAUCGAACCCAUGUUCUUUGUAGGAUAUUUGAUGGAUGACGAUAUACUAUUUAGAACAUGUUUUUACACACUUCUUUAUAGUAUAGAUGAUGGAUGACUUUAUACUAUAAAGAUGUUUUUGAGAUAUAUGUACCUAAGACUAUAUUCAAUGUUUUUGUGCGUAUCUAAUGGUCACUGUUAUGUGUGUUUGGCAACGAUAUUUAUAUUGU
rnacentral:lncRNA from 1 species